UACGUAGGUGGCAAGCGUUGUCCGGAAUUAUUGGGCGUAAAGCGCGCGCAGGCGGCCUCUUAAGUCUGAUGUGAAAGCCCCCGGCUCAACCGGGGAGGGCCAUUGGAAACUGGUAGGCUUGAGUAUAGGAGAGAAGAGUGGAAUUCCACGUGUAGCGGUGAAAUGCGUGAGAGAUGUGGAGGAACACCAGUGGCGAAGGCGACUCUUUGGCCUAUAACUGACGCUGAGGCGCGAAAGCGUGGGGAGCAAACAGG
rnacentral:rRNA from 1 species